AUUGAACGCUGGCGGCAGGCCUAACACAUGCAAGUCGGGCGAGUGGCGGACGGGUGAGUAAUGUAUGGGGAUCUGCCUGAUGGAGGGGGAUAACUACUGGAAACGGUAGCUAAUACCGCAUACCAUCAGAUGAACCCAGAUGGGAUUAGCUUGUUGGGGGGGUAAAGGCUCAACCAGGCGACGAUCCCUAGCUGGUCUGAGAGGAUGAUCAGCCACACUGGGACUGAGACACGGCCCAGACUCCUACGGGAGGCAGCAGUGGGGAAUAUUGCACAAUGGGCGCAAGCCUGAUGCAGCCAUGCCGCGUGUAUGAAGAAGGCCUUCGGGUUGUAAAGUACUUUCAGUCGGGAGGCGUUACCGACAGAAGAAGCACCGGCUAACUCCGUGCCAGCCGCCGCGGUAAUAC
rnacentral:rRNA from 1 species